UACGUAGGUGGCAAGCGUUGUCCGGAUUUACUGGGCGUAAAGGGCUUGUAGGCGGCUUUGUUAAGUCUGGUGUGAAAUCUCCCGGCUCAACCGGGAGGGGUCAUCGGAUACUGGCAGACUUGAGACGGGUAGAGGAAAGCAGAAUUCCCGGUGUAGCGGUGAAAUGCGUAGAUAUCUGGAGGAACACCGGUGGCGAAGGCGGCAUCCUGGACCGGUAUUGACGCUGAGGCGGCGAAAGCUAGGGGAGCCAAACGGG
rnacentral:rRNA from 1 species